CUCUCCGUCCCCGGCUCCGCCAGCAGCAGUCCCGGAGAGAUUUCCCCUCCCCGCCGCCCGCACUCUCUCUCCUCCUGCGCCCAGGCCGGUCUCCGGCUCCGGAUCCGGGCGGCGACGGUGCAGAUGAGGGCGCACAGGGGACGGUCCUGGAGCCCGGGAAGGGUGCGAGAUGGAGACGGCGGUUCAGAAAAGUUGUCAGGUCUCCAGCGCGGGCAGUGGCGGGAGCUGGAGCCGCGGUGGAGACGACCCGAGGGGACGCAGCCCGCCUGGCACAAAGGGCCACGGGCGCGAGGGACUCGAUGAGCUGGGAGGACGCGGCCGCGGCAGGUGCGGCGCGCUGGGGCGGGUGCUUGGCGCCUUCCCCGGCACAGGACAUACUUUAUUCAGCUGGGUGCUGAAAAAGAAUCUUGGAAAUUAGGAAACUGAAUGAGGCCUCAUUUCACACUCAGAAUGUGGGUUGCAAUAGUCACUUCCUCUGCUGCUGGGAAAGAAAGAAUUAUACUACCUUUUGAAUUUUGGAUUAAGGAGAGAGGUGUUGGCUUGUCAAACUACCAUGUAUUCCUCAAGACAUAUUUUUGUGGCUUUAUAAAAUUCAAUAUAUAUUUCUAAAUUCAAAUAUAUUUUGUUGCAAUCUGGCCCUUGGACAAACUGAGGCCCUAGCAACUGAUGUGUAUGG
rnacentral:lncRNA from 1 species